UACGAAGGGGGCUAGCGUUGUUCGGAUUUACUGGGCGUAAAGCGCACGUAGGCGGCUUUGUAAGUUAGAGGUGAAAGCCUGGGGCUCAACCCCAGAAUUGCCUUUAAGACUGCAUCGCUUGAAUCCAGGAGAGGUGAGUGGAAUUCCGAGUGUAGAGGUGAAAUUCGUAGAUAUUCGGAAGAACACCAGUGGCGAAGGCGGCUCACUGGACUGGUAUUGACGCUGAGGUGGCGAAAAGCGUGGGGAGCAAACAGG
rnacentral:rRNA from 1 species